AGAAAAGUCACUUUCCCAUGUUUUUUUUAGGCUCCGUAUUUGCCUUGGGUGCUUCUCGGUUUCACUGUAAUUCUUGGUAAUACAAUAUGGGUAGAUCUAGUUGGUAUGGCAGUAGGACACAUGUAUUAUUUUGUAGAAGAUGUAUUUCCACGUUUAAGAGGAGGUUUCCGAGUUCUUAAAACUCCGCAAAUACUUAAGACUUUGUUCGACGCACAUCCAGAGGAUCCAGACUAUACCCCGCCGCCCGAAGACCGUCCCGAAAGAUUUAAUUGGGGACAAGAAGCCAACGUGCAGUGAUUCAAAAUUCGAAGUCCUGCUUCCAAAUCAUCUCUUACUGAUUGGCAUAUCAAGUAAUCUUUUCUAUUAUUAGCCCUUUGCGGACAGAGUCGCUCGACGAGCGAGCAUCGCUGUGGUCGAGAGGUAUUGAUGCGCUACUUUAUUUGUAACAUUCUUCCAUUUAUUGUCGGGGCUUUCAUUAUUGUUGUCAAUAUUUAGUUCAUGCUCACUAUCACUAUCACUGAAAAUAUUGAAACGUUUGAUCUGAUUCUUUGUUCCAACAAUUUCGCUUCCACUGUCUGAAGCACUGCCAUCAUCUUCGAACUUGUCAGAUUCAAGAUAAUAUUCGUCUAUUAUCACUAUCGAACAUGUCCUCUUUGAAUCUUUUAGGCAUUGUGUAAAGGAUGUUAUAAAGUAUAAAAUAUAUAAAAGACUUACUGAUUCGUCUGGUAGUAUCACUGAGAGUUUUCAUUAAAUGAAAUAUAAGACUUCACCUCUAAAGAUCUCUAAUUUCCAUUGAAAAAGAAAACAUAAUACUGUUUAGUCUACUAUACCCAUGCGUAUCUUAUCGCUCAGAAAGAUAAAUGUACGCGAGCCGCUUAUACAUGUCCGUAACUGUGAACAGACUUGAGUGGCUAUUUGUCGACACACGUCCGCAACGGGAAAAAGACUUAGCUGGCUACUUGACGGCACUCGUCCGCAAAGGGUUAGAUAUACAACAUUGUUCCUUGAUUUCCCCAAUAACUAACAGAAGUACGAAGUAAUUACCAUUUGUCUACAAUACUAUGCGAAGUAUAGAGGAUACCUAUAACGACGAUAAGACUUCCAAUUUUUUACAGGGGUUACAAUUUUUCACAGGAAACUUCGGUAUUAAAUGUAAUACACGUUAAUAAUUAUAAAUGGAAACAGUAUUUCUCAGAUAA